UUUAUAUGACUUACCAUGUAUUAUUAAAUAUUUAGUAUUAUGGUUCCCCUCAAAAAAAAAAAUAUUUAGUAUUAUGGUUGUUUAUUUAUAGUUUUCGAAUUUGAAAUUGGUCCAAUUCUAGGUAUAUAAUAAAAUUGGCCAAAAUUAAAGUUUCCAAUUUAGGAGUAAAAAGUUAUCGUUCCAAAUUUCACUUUAUCUUUUAUUUGAACAAGUCAACUCUCACUCCUCCUAGAGUAAAUAGAGAUAUAUAUAGAAAUCCAUUGUAACAAAUAUGAAUUCAUUGAUUCACUCAAAUUUUUAUAAUAGAACAGCUAGAUAGCAAUCAAAAGCCUAUACAAAUCUAGAACAAUUUGAAUAUUUGAUGGGUUAAUGUGUACUUGUGUAGAUACAUACUAAUGUGUACUUGUGUAUUUCGUUUCAUGUUGAAGUCAUAUAUAGCUGCAUACAUUAUACAUAUAGUGACUAGUGUGGUCCAUGAAACAUCAUUACAUUAAUUAAACAAAAUAACAAAUCUUCUUCUUUUCUCUCUCUCUCCUCUGCAAUAGUCUACAACUCUACAUUAGCUUCACUAGUUCACUGUAUACUGUAUAGUAGUAGCAAGCUUGAAGAAGCUAAGAAAAUGGCGCAAGGAAGUAAGCUUGAAGAAGCUAAAAAAAUGGCGCAAGGACUCCAACAACAUCAAUCAACUUCACCAUCUCAAUUUUCAUGGCUAUAUCUCCGACGGCUCGUCAAUCAAUCAACUUGAAUUUUCAUGGCUAUACCAACACAGAGCACCAUGAACAGAACCAGCCACCAAGCCCGGUCAACCCGUCCAGCCCACUUGAAACCGCUCCAGCCCGUCAUUAACCGUGAAACCCGUCAGCCCAGCCCAGACCGCCACAUUAACCGUCAAAAACCGGUCCAGACCGAGGUGGGCCGACCUUCUAGGACCACCAACACAGCCCGCCCAGCCCGUCUAAUUCGCGGUCCGGUCAUGGGCCCCGUUUCGUCAGCCCAGCCCACCUAAGCCCGCGGCCCAGCCCAUCCAGACCGCACCACUCGCCACCUCUACUAGAGAAGGGUGUUUUCAAGAGUAAAUAUUCAUUAACUCACAUAUUAAUGAACUUGGGUUCGGUUUCAAGAGUAGUGGGAAGAAAUAAUAUUUACAAAAAAAUAAUACGUUGACCAACUUAUAUUCGUCUACUAUUUUAACUAAUAUUAUAUUCACUUACUUAUAUCAUGUUCGUCUACUAUAAUAUAAAAUUCACUAUAUAUUAUUCGUCUACUUCUAUAUUAUAUCAUAUCGUGGAGGUUUAUAUAUGUGUAAUACUCACAAUUCUAUAUCAUAUUAUAGUAUAUUCAUAGUAUUAGUAUUAUACUAUUUUCAA